rnacentral:rRNA from 1 species
AUUGAACGCUGGCGGAAUGCUUUACACAUGCAAGUCGAACGGCAGCACGGACUUCGGUCUGAUGGCGAGUGGCGAACGGGUGAGUAAUGUAUCGGAACGUGCCCAGUCGUGGGGGAUAACGUAGUGAAAAUUACGCUAAUACCGCAUACGAUCUAUGGAUGAAAGCGGGGGAUCGCAAGACCUCGCGCGAUUGGAGCGGCCGAUAUCAGAUUAGGUAGUUGGUGGGGUAAAGGCCCACCAAGCCAACGAUCUGUAGCUGGUCUGAGAGGACGACCAGCCACACUAGAACUGAGACACGGUCCAGACUCCUACGGGAGGCAGCAGUGGGGAAUUUUAGACAAUGGGCGAAAGCCUGAUCCAGCCAUUCCGCGUGCAGGAUGAAGGCCCUCGGGUUGUAAACUGCUUUUGUACAGAACGAAAAGGUUUCUACUAAUACUAGGAGCUCAUGACGGUACUGUAAGAAUAAGCACCGGCUAACUACGUGCCAGCCGCCGCCGUAA